rnacentral:lncRNA from 1 species
CCGGUUGCUCCCUCCCACGGCUUCCCCUUUUCUCAGAAAGCCUGGAAACCAAAGGUGAAAGAAGUGGGUGGAAACUUGCGCUGCCGUCCAGGAAGAGAAGUGAGUGAGUAAGUCGGCUGCAAUAUUUAACAGUGCCUCCGGCCCCGCCGCCCGCAGACCCGCCUCGACGGGAGCCGAAGCUGUCGGAUGGAGACACAGCUGGCUGGAGCUGGGGAAGCUGACUCGCACUGGCUGCUUGGCUCUGAGAACUGAAUUCCA